UAUCGCCGAACCCGAACUGGUCUUCCCCGACUUUUCUCCCUUCUUCUCUCGCGGACGAACCGAAGCUGACGGAUCUUCAUCGAUCGUCGACAUCGCCGGAGGAGCACGUCGUCGGAGCUUGCCGGAGAUCAAUCAAGGAGGCCUGUAUCAUCUUGAUCUCCUCUUCUCAACCCUUCCCCGAGCAUUUCUUCCGCAGUUGCCGGCUCCUCUUCCCCGACGCCGACACCAAGGGAGAUGAUCGCCGGCGUGAAGAGGCAAUUAGGGCUCCGAGGGUAAGCUAGCUUCGAUUCCUCUUCUCUGGAUGUUCUCCGAUCUGUGCCCUAGCACGGUCUGCGAUUCCCCGAUCGACGCCAUUGGAUUGAUCCGUGCCAUCCGAUCGCCGGCGUGGAAAGGGCGAUUAGGGCUUCAAGGAUCUUGGACUUUUCCGUUUCUUGGUGUGAUUGAGCUCACGGUUGAAGUGAGGUGAGGUGAGGUUCUGUUCUUGCUGUGGAGUUGUUCUUGAUUCCGACAACACUUCAACCAGUAGCUUCUCUGGUUCCAGCAAUCAACAGCAGCUGGAUUGAGGAAAUAUGGCUGGAAAAAAAUUUGAGCUAACUCGUUACAAGUCAUGUGUAUCAGACAUUAUUACAAAUUUCACAAACUUGCAAGAGACUCUAAAGGGAUAUGGUGCAGAGAAGAAUCAAUAUUUACACAACAUUCAGAAAUGUAAAGAAAUAAAGAGAGAGAAUAAAACAAAGCUGGAGGAAAUUGAGAAAGAAAUUCAGUUAAUAUUGAAGGAAGUCCAAAAAGAGAAUGAGAUAUUGUCAAACAUGAUACAAACUGCAAAUGAUACAUUCAGAGAGAUAAAUUCAAUGAACAAAGAAGUUGAAGCUCAGGUUCUCACUGAAGAAAGAGAUGAAGAAAGAAGUGGGCGAAAGAGAAAAAAGAGGAGGAGGAGGAAUGAUUACGAAGCAGUUAUUGAAUAACAAUUUUAAAUUUUAGAUUACUUUGGUCUAUUUUGGUGACUACUCUUUUAGAUUUUAGAUUACUUUGGUCUAUUUUGGUGACUACUCUUUUAGAUUUUAGAUUACUUUGGUCUAUUUUGGUGACUACUCUUUUAGAUUUUAGAUUACUUUGGUCUAUUUUGGUGACUACUCUUUACAAGUGGACUUUCUAUAUAGUUAAAAACCUAUAAAUACCAUUGAAGGAUGGAGGUGGUCAGUCAUAGGUAA